CACUUAGGCUUCUCUGAGGAGUCUCUGUUCUGCAUUUGACCAUGCUGAGCCCUGAAACUCUGAUCCACAGCAGGAACUGGACAUUUAUUUAGAGGAAUUGGUCUUCAGUCUUUGGGACUAUAAGUAUAUUUGACAGACAUGCCCAGAUUCACCUGUCUCCUUGAACGUCUUAUUGCAUGAGCACUUAUCAGCAAUUGCCCUCAGUAAAAUGUAUCAGGCACUCUGCAAAUAUAGAGAUAAAUGGAAAAGAAGUAACAGCUUGACCAGACCCAACAUCUGUGUCCAUGACCUCCUUGCCACAGAGGAUCAGCACUGUCUGGGCUGAGGUGGACAUCUCUU